rnacentral:rRNA from 1 species
GGAGUGAGUCUACGGAUGACAAGGUCCGUGGACGAGAGGGGAACAGCCCGGACCGCCGGCUAAGGUCCCAAAUCAUGUCUAAGUGGGAAAGGAGGUGGAUAUUCACAGACAACCAGGAGGUUGGCUUAGAAGCAGCCAUACCUUGAAAGAGUGCGUAAUAGCUCACUGGUCGAGAGUAUCUGCGCCGAAGAUAUAACGGGGCUAAGACAUGAACCGAAGCCGCGGAAGCGUGCUAGGCACGUUUGGUAGGAGAGCGUUCUGUAGGCUGUAGAAGGUGUCCUGAAAGGGAUGCUGGAGGUAUCAGAAGUGAGAAUGCAGGAAUGAGUAGCGAGAAGGAGGGCGAGAAUCCCUCCGGCCGGAAGUCCAAGGUUUCCAGGGGAAGGUUUGUCCGCCCUGGGGGAGUCGGGACCUAAGCAUAAGCAGAGCUGCGAAGGCGAAUGGAAAACAGGUUAAUAUUCCUGUACCGCUGUGUACUGACUGAGAGAUGGAGUGACGCAGGAAGGUAUGCGGGAAGGCUGACGGAAUAGCCUUUCUAAGGGUGAAGCGUGGACAUAUAGGCAAAUCCGUAUGUUUAAACGUGAGGCCUGACGGGUAAGUGCCAUAUGGCAUAAGCCGCAGAUCCUACACUGCCGGGAAAAACUUCUAUUUAGGGAAGCAGCGCCCGUACUGUAAACCGACACAGGUGGACAGAGUGAGAAACUUAAGGCCGACAACGGCGGCCGUAACUAUAACGGUCCUAAGGUAGCGAAAUUCCUUGUCGGGUAAGUUCCGACCUGCACGAAUGGUGAAAUGAUUUGGGAGCUGUCUUGGCCGGAGACCUGGUGAAGUUGUAAUGCCGGUGAAGAUACCGGUUACCUGCAGUAGGACGGAAAGACCCCGUGGAGCUUUACUGCAGCCUGGCAUUGGGUUUCGGCAAUGUGUGUAUAGGAUAGCUGGGAGGCUAUGAAGAUAUGGCGUCAGCUGUAUUGGAGCCGCUGUUGGAAUACCAGCCACGCAUUGUUGGGAUUCUAAUCUCAUAAGAUGGGAGACAGUGCUAGGUGGGCAGUUUGACUGGGGCGGUCGCCUCCAAAAGAGUAACGGAGGCGUUCAAAGGUUCCCUCAGGCUGGAUGGAAAUCAGCCGGAGAGUGCAAACGCAUAAGGGAGAAGGUCCCAAGGGUUGGGCUGUUCGCCCAUUAAAGAGGCACGCGAGCUGGGUUCAGAACGUCGUGAGACAGUUCGGUCCCUAUCCACUGCAGGCGUCAGAAUAUUGAAGGGAUCUGUCCUUAGUACGAGAGGACCGGGAUGGACGGACCAAUGAUGUACCGGUUGUCACGCCAGUGGCACGGCCGGGUAGUCACGUCCGGAAGGGAUAACCGCUGAAAGCAUCUAAGCGGGAAGCCCACCCUGAGAUGAAUGUUCUUUCAAGCAUCCGCCGAGAACAGGCGGUGAUAGGCCGGGGGUGCAAGCAUGGCGACAUGUUCAGCUGACCGGUACUAAUAAUGCGUAGGCUUACUU